AUUGAACGCUGGCGGCAUGCCUAACACAUGCAAGUCGAGCGGAUGAAGGGAGAUUUCUCCUGGAUUCAGCUGCGGACGGGUGAGUAAUGCCUAGGAAUCUGCCUGGUAGUGGGGGAUAACGUCCGGAAACGGGAGCUAAUACCGCGUACGUUCUGAGGGAGAAAGGGGUGGUUCUUCGGAGCUCACUCUAUCAGAUGAGCCUAGGUCGGAUUAGCUAGUUGGUGGGGUAAAGGCUUACCAAGGCGACGAUCCGUAACUGGUCUGAGAGGAUGAUCAGCCACACUGGAACUGAGACACGGUCCAGACUCCUACGGGAGGCAGCAGUGGGGAAUAUUGGACAAUGGGCGAAAGCCUGAUCGAGCAACGCCGCGUGUGUGAAGAAGGUCUUCGGAUUGUAAAGCUCUUUAAGUUGGGAGGAAGGGAAGUAAGUUAAUACCUUGCUGUUUUGACGUUACCAACAGAGUAAGCAACGGCUAACUUCGUG
rnacentral:rRNA from 1 species